UACGAAGGGGGCUAGCGUUGCUCGGAAUCACUGGGCGUAAAGCGCACGUAGGCGGCUUUUUAAGUCAGGGGUGAAAUCCUGGAGCUCAACUCCAGAACUGCCUUUGAUACUGAGAAGCUUGAGACCGGGAGAGGUGAGUGGAAUUCCCAGUGUAGCGGUGAAAUGCGUAGAUAUUGGGAGGAACACCAGUGGCGAAGGCGGCUCACUGGACCGGUACUGACGCUGAUGCGCGAAAGCGUGGGGAGCAAACAGG
rnacentral:rRNA from 1 species